rnacentral:rRNA from 1 species
GAUGAACGCUAGCGGCAGGCUUAACACAUGCAAGUCGAGGGGCAGCACGGUAGCAAUACUGGUGGCGACCGGCAAACGGGUGCGGAACACGUACAGAACCUACCUUGAUCUGGGGCAUAGCCCGGAGAAAUCCGGAUUAACUCCCCAUAACAUAGAUGAGUGGCAUCACUUGACUAUUAAAAAUUUAUUGGAUCGAGAUGGCUGUGCGUCCCAUUAGCUAGUUGGUAGGGUGACGGCCUACCAAGGCGACGAUGGGUAGCUGGUGUGAGAGCACGACCAGCCACACGGGCACUGAGACACGGGCCUGACUCCUACGGGAGGCAGCAGUGAGGAAUAUUGGUCAAUGGACGGAAGUCUGAACCAGCCAUCCCGCGUGCAGGAUGAAGGUCCUAUGGAUUGUAAACUGCUUUUAGCAGAGACGAAGACCCAUCAUUGAUGGUGGAGUGACGGUAUCUGCAGAUAAGCACCGGCUAACUCCGUG